UGGGGAAUAUUGGACAAUGGGCGAAAGCCUGAUCCAGCGACGCCGCGUGGGUGAAGAAGGCCUGCGGGUUGUAAAGCCCUUUCGGUUGGGAAGAAAAGCUGCGACCUAAUACGUCGCGGCCUUGACGUAACCAACUAAAGAAGCACCGGCUAACUCUGUGCCCGCAGCCGCGGUAAUACAGAGGGUGCGAGCGUUGUCCGGAAUCACUGGGCGUAAAGGGCGCGUAGGUGGCUGUGUAAGUCGGGGGUGAAAUGCUGCGGCUCAACCGCAGCGCUGCCUCCGAGACUGCACGGCUUGAGCACGGUAGAGGCCGAUGGAAUUCCCGGUGUAGCGGUGGAAUGCGUAGAGAUCGGGAAGAACACCGAUGGCGAAGGCAGUCGGCUGGGCCGUUGCUGACACUGAGGCGCGACAGCGUGGGGAGCAAA
rnacentral:rRNA from 1 species